rnacentral:rRNA from 1 species
UACGUAGGGUGCAAGCGUUAAUCGGAAUUACUGGGCGUAAAGCGUGCGCAGGCGGUGAUGUAAGCCAGUUGUGAAAUCCCCGGGCUCAACCUGGGAACUGCAUCUGUGACUGCAUCGCUGGAGUGCGGCAGAGGGGGAUGGAAUUCCGCGUGUAGCAGUGAAAUGCGUAGAUAUGCGGAGGAACACCGAUGGCGAAGGCAAUCCCCUGGGCCUGCACUGACGCUCAUGCACGAAAGCGUGGGGAGCAAACGGG